rnacentral:rRNA from 1 species
GAUGAACGCUGGCGGCGUGCUUAACACAUGCAAGUCGAACGGAAAGGCCACAGCUUGCUGUGUUACUCGAUUGGCGAACGGGUGAGUAACACGUGGGUGAUCUGCCCUUUACUUCGGGAUAAGCUUUGGAAACUGGGUCUAUUACCGGAUAGGAUUCACAUGUGGGUGUGUGGUUGGAAAGCUUUUGCGGUAUGGGAUGGGGUCGCGGCCUAUCCGCUUGUUGUUGGUGUAUUGGCCUACCAAGGCGUCGACGGGUAGCCGGCCUGAGAGGGUGUACGUCGACAUUGGGACUGAGAUACGGCCCAGAAUCCUACGGGAGGCAGCAGGGGGGAAUAUUGCACAAUGGGCGCAAGCCUGAUGCAGAGACGCCGCGUGGGGGAUGACGGCCUUCGGGUUGUAAACUACUUUCGUCAGGGACGAAGCGAAAGUGACGGUACCUGGAUAAGAAGCACCGGCUAACUACGUG